rnacentral:rRNA from 1 species
AUUGAACGCUGGCGGCAGGCCUAACACAUGCAAGUCGGACGAGUGGCGGACGGGUGAGUAAUGUAUGGGAAUGUGCCUGAUGGAGGGGGAUAACUACUGGAAACGGUAGCUAAUACCGCAUACCAUCAGAUGAACCCAUAUGGGAUUAGCUUGUUGGUAAGGUAAAGGCUUACCUAGGCGACGAUCCCUAGCUGGUCUGAGAGGAUGAUCAGCCACACUGGGACUGAGACACGGCCCAGACUCCUACGGGAGGCAGCAGUGGGGAAUAUUGCACAAUGGGCGCAAGCCUGAUGCAGCCAUGCCGCGUGUAUGAAGAAGGCCUUCGGGUUGUAAAGUACUUUCAGUAGGGAGGCGUUACCGACAGAAGAAGCACCGGCUAACUCCGUGCCAGCAGCCGCGGUAAUAC